rnacentral:rRNA from 1 species
AUUGAACGCUGGCGGCAGGCCUAACACAUGCAAGUCGAGCGGAUGAGUGGAGCUUGCUCCAUGAUUCAGCGGCGGACGGGUGAGUAAUGCCUAGGAAUCUGCCUGGUAGUGGGGGACAACGUUUCGAAAGGAACGCUAAUACCGCAUACGUCCUACGGGCGAAAGGGGGGGAUCUUCGGACCUCACGCUAUCAGAUGAGCCUGGGUCGGAUUAGCUAGUUGGUGAGGUAAAGGCUCACCAAGGCGACGAUCCGUAACUGGUCUGAGAGGAUGAUCAGUCACACUGGAACUGAGACACGGUCCAGACUCCUACGGGAGGCAGCAGUGGGGAAUAUUGGACAAUGGGCGAAAGCCUGAUCCAGCCAUGCCGCGUGUGUGAAGAAGGUCUUCGGAUUGCAAAGCACUUUAAGUUGGGAGGAAGGGCAGUAAGUUAAUACCUUGCUGUUUUGACGUUACCAACAGAAUAAGCACCGGCUAACUUCGUGCCAGCCGCCGCGGUAAUAC